GUUUUUGUGUCCUACCAAACACACAUCAGUUUUCUCACAUGACAAUCUAUGUGUGGAGUUCACUUCACUGACGGAAGAAAGUGGAAAAUAUGUAUUUUUCUUUUAUUCUUCUCAUUUAUGCUGCCGGUGUUGCGGUUAAAGAAAGUUGUGCAGAUUUGGUUCCCACUCCCACUAUUUUAUUGUCCCCUGGGUACAUCAAUGUAGCUACACCUGUUACAGUACGCUGUGAGUCACCAAAAGGCACAGAGUGCAAAUUCUACAAAGAUCACGACCCCAACCCUAUAAGGAAACUGGAAUACAAGCAGGGUGCUUGCCAGUUCAA